AAGGAUCAUUAUCGUGGGGCUUCGGCCCCGUCGAGAAAGCACCCUUGCCUUUACCGUACCAUGGGAUCGACCCCCUCCGGUUCUCCGGGGUGUGGGGCGACCCUGCCCAUUUUCCUCGGCUGGUUCCCCAGCCAGGGGCGACCCUUUGAGGAAGACCAAACACGCUGCAACCACCUGUAACCGCCUGAUAAAACAAACAAAAAUCAAAACUUUCAACAACGGAUCUCUUGGUUCUGGCAUCGAUGAAGAACGCAGCCGAAACUCGAUGUGGAAGUAAAAGUCGUAACAAGGCAUCGAUGAAGAACGCAGCGUAGCCAUCGAUGUGGAAGUAAAAGUCGUAACAAG
rnacentral:misc_RNA from 1 species